UUUCGGUUAUCUAGCUUUAUGAAGAAUGUACAUCACUCAUACAGCUAGAUAACCAAAGAUA
rnacentral:pre_miRNA from 1 species